rnacentral:misc_RNA from 1 species
AACGCACAUUGCGCCCAUUAGUAUUCUAGUGGGCAUGCCUGUUCGAGCGUCAUUUCAACCCUUAAGCCCCUGUUGCUUAGCGUUGGGAGCCCGCGGCCGGAUAAGACCGGCGGCGGCUCCUCAAAGUCAGUUGGCGGAGUCGGUCUCACACCCCAGACGUAGUAAACAAUCGCCUCGAUCGUCUCGUCUCCGGUUGGGCCGGUCCCCUGCCGUAAAACACCCCCCCCCCAGAAGGUUGACCUCGGAUCAGGUAGGAAUACCCGCUGAACUUAA